rnacentral:lncRNA from 1 species
GGAGACCCGGUGUUGGGUGGGGUCCCGGCAGGGACAAGCCGCUGCCGCCAUCAGUCACCGAGGUGGGGUGGGGAUGAGAGGUUCGCCGCGGCUUCAAGACCUGGGUCCGGCCAGUGGGCAGCCACAUCGGAGGCCUCAGGAUUAUCAAUCACAGUCAUAUCUAUAAUGAAACUGGAAGAAAAACUACACAGAAAAGAAUUCAAAGUGAUUUGGCACUGCCUUCUGCUUGGCCCAUCUGCUGUUAUUUUUUUUCUCCUACUGGCAGAACGUUAGACAAUAUUUCAACUUAGCAUCUCAUAGGCAGUUAAACAACGGACAAGUAUUCUCCACUUGAGUCAGUUUCAGACCCAGAACCUUUUGACUAAAGACAUAGUCAAAUCCCUUGGAGGAAGGACCAUGUAACACCAUGGAAGAGUGGGCUGGAGAAGAGGAAAUGAUACCAUGUUCUUUUAAGAAAAAAGAGGAAAAAGCCCACAAGAUGAACACUAUGGUGUAUAACCCUGUCAUGUCUUUUUAGCAAUGAACUUUGGAGCCCUGGAAACAAGUAGCCCUAAGUUACAACACUCAAUUUUAAAGGUCCAGCCUCUCUUGGUAUGUCAUGAAGUCUGAUAACCUGUGGAAUCCUGUUGCCUCUUAACAGGAUGCUAAGAGUGGCACAUUCCAGUCAGAGUUGAACAACAGUUUGAACUGCAAAGGUCCACCUGAUUUUUUUCUGCCUCUGCUACCUCUGAAACAGCAAGAUCAGCCCUUGCUCUUCCUUCUGCUCCUACUCAACAUGAAGGCACAAAGACGAAGACUUUAUAAUGAUCCAUUUUUACUUAAUAAGCAGUGAGGCACUGAAGGCAGGCUCCCACUAGUCUUUAAUGGAAAUAUUACAAAGUAGAAGGUA